GCCCCUGGCUUGCUGUUCUUGAGACUCCCUCUACUUCCCACGCGCCACUCCCAGCACGUGGAGACGCCUGUUUCUCCUGGGCAGAUGGAACCCGAUUCUUUCCAACUUGGGAAACGUAAUCGGUCUUUUCUGUUAUGUUUCCAUUUGUUUCUCAAUGUUAAAUUUCUGUGAACAAAACUUCCCAUUGGUGACUGUUUUAAAGACCCUCAGAACCUGGUCCGCCACUCUAGAGGCUCUAUCACCAUAGGCCCUGGGCUGCCUGGAGGAGCGAGUGAGGGGUCCAUGCUGCGUCAGGAGCUGGGGACUGCUGGGGAUGAGAUGCGUCUCUUUGGCCAGGGCGUUUGCUUUAGAGCUAUGAGGCAGCCAGGAAGCUGGGCCACAGGCGGGAGGCCUGGGGUCCGGGCGCUACAGCCAGUGCCAGCUCCUGCUUUCCACGGCCGGCGGGUUCUACCAUAGCCUCGGCAAGUCAUCAGCAAACGUCCCUUACAGACACUCCAUCCGGACACGUGUGCCUCAUUGCCAGGUGGUCUCUCUGCCGAACCCACAUCUGUGAUGGCAGAACUCAGCUCAGAGCAGGUGCGGCAGGAGGCGAGGGAGGGAACACCGGCACCCUCACAGCAGCUGGGCCCUUCCACACACCCUCCAAGCUUGUCACCCAGUAGGCCGGCCGGGCGCCAUGGCCCGGAGGUCCCUGUGGCCGGCAGGAGAGUUGCCAGCACGGGAGCUGAGACCCUCUUGUCAGACUCAGAUGUUUUCUGCUCUUCCUGAUCCUGACUUCUCCUUUGGGCCUAAU
rnacentral:lncRNA from 1 species